AUCCAGCUGAUGAGUCUCAAAUAGGACUAAACGUCUGUCCUAGAU
rnacentral:hammerhead_ribozyme from 1 species